rnacentral:rRNA from 1 species
UAAAUACUCCCGAGAGACCGAUAGCGAACCAGUACUGUGAAGGAAAGGUGAAAAGAACCUCGAACAGAGGAGUGAAAGAGACCCUGAAACCAUGCGCCUACAAGCGGUCGGAGCAUGUUAAAAUGUGACGGCGUGCCUUUUGCAUAAUGAACCUACGAGUUACUCUCGCUGGCAAGGUUAAGCGAUUCAGUCGCGCAGCCGAAGCGAAAGCAAGUCCGAACAAGGCGUACAGUCAGCGGGAGUAGACGCGAAACCAAGUGAUCUACCCUUGGUCAGGUUGAAGGUUGGGUAACACCAACUGGAGGACCGCACCGAUAAGCGUUGAAAAGCUUACGGAUGAACUGAGGGUAGGAGUGAAAGGCCAAUCAAACUUGGAGAUAGCUCGUACUCCCCGAAAUGCAUUUAGGUGCAGCCUCGAAGUAAAGUGAUAGAGGUAGAGCGACUGAUAAGAUGCGAGGGCUUCACCGCCUAUCAAGUCUUGACAAACUCCGAAUACUAUCACUUGAUCUUCGGGAGUGAGGGCAUGGGUGCUAAGGUCCAUGUCCGAAAGAGGAACAACUCAGACCACCAGCUAAGGUCCCGAAAUAAGGGCUAAGUUGAAUAAACGAAGUAAAACUGCAAAGACAGCUAGGAUGUUGGCUUGGAAGCAGCCAUUCAUUUAAAGAGUGCGUAACAGCUCACUAGUCGAGGAGUUUUGCAUGGAUAAUAAUCGGGCAUAAGCCCUUUACCGAAGCUGUGGAUGUCGUAAGACAUGGUAGGGGAGCAUUCCGGCGGCGACGAAGGCCGUCCUCGAGGACGACUGGAGCUUUCGGAAAAGCAAAUGUAGGUAUAAGUAACGAUAAAGGGGGCGCGAAACCCCCUCGCCAUAAGACUAAGGAUUCCUGAUCAACGCUAAUCGGAUCAGGGUAAGUCGGGCCCUAAGGCGCAGCCGAACGGCGCAGCCGAUGGAAGAAACGGUAAAGAUUCCGUUACUGGAUAUAGGAGCGAUGUGGAGACGGAGAAGUGACACACCCGCCUGCCGACGGAAGCGCAGGUUAAAGGAAGUAGGUAAACGCCGGGUAGGCAAAUCCGCCUGGCGUGCCGAAACUGACAGUAUCGAGAGCCCCCGGGCAAUCGAAUAGCGGUGGUAAUCAGGCUCCCAAGAAAAUCCGCUAAGCAAAUUCUAUAUUCACCCGUACCCCAAACGGACACACGUAGUCGGGUAGAAUAUACCAAGGCGCUCGAAAGACUCACGGUUAAGGAACUAGGCAAAUUGACCCUGUAACCUCGGGAAAAAGGGUCCCCAGUAAGAUGGGGCGCAGAGAAUAGGUCCAGGCAACUGUUUAACAAAAACACAGGGCUGUGCAAAAUUUAGAGAUGAAGUAUACAGCCUGACACCUGCCCGGUGCCGGAAGGUUAAGAGGAGAGCUAAUCGCAAGAGAAGGCUUGAAUUGAAGCCCCGGUAAACGGCGGCCGUAACUAUAACGGUCCUAAGGUAGCGAAAUUCCUUGUCGGGU